rnacentral:rRNA from 1 species
ACGGCCAUACCAUGCUGAAUAUACCGGUUCUCGUUAGAUCACCGAAGUCAAGCAGCAUUGGGCACGGUCAGUACUUGGGUGGGUGACCACCUGGGAACACCGCGUGCCGUU